GCCUUAUACAGAUGUAGUCACGCAAGACAGUGGCGCAUCUCCCUUUAAGGCAGUGUUACCAAUAGAAGCAUAAGCGACAAGUCUGUUUGCGUGGCUUUUUAGUCGAAACCAGGUGAGCCUAUGUGGAACAGGUUAGCCGUAAGACCUUGGGUUGAAAAACCCUAAAAUUGACCUGGAAAUGAUGGGAUUCGGUUUCGCGAUUUUCGUUAUUUCUAGUUACGGCAUA
ncrna:unclassified sequences IS605-orfB-I RNA